UACAGAGGUGGCAAGCGUUGUCCGGAUUUACUGGGCGUAAAGGGCGCGUAGGCGGUCACGCACGUCCGUUGUGAAAUCGCUCGGCUCAACUGGGCGGGGUCAGCGGAUACGGCGUGGCUGGAGCAAGCUAGGGGGCAAUGGAAUUCCCGGUGUAGUGGUGGAAUGCGUAGAUAUCGGGAGGAACACCAGUGGCGAAGGCGGUUGCCUGGACGCUUUGCUGACGCUGAGGCGCGAAAGCGUGGGGAGCGAGUCCGG
rnacentral:rRNA from 1 species